UAAAACAAUACGAUUGGUUAAAACUAGAUACAUAGAUCAAGGACUAAGGAAGUAUCUUCAAAGAUUUUCUAGCUGUUAGUUCAAGAAAGAACUCCCAAAAAUCAUGAAGAUACAGGUUUUUAUUGUGGUGGCUGUUAUAGCUGUUUUAAGCUUUAUAAAUGUGACGAAUGGUCAGUGUACAGAAGAAAAGGGUAACGCAUGUAAAACCACUUACGACGGUUCCGUGAACAGUACGUCUAGCGCCGAGGACAACUGCACAGCUGCAUAUGUCUAUGGUAAAUGUUUAAUUGAUGAAACGUGCUAUAAUGAUGACACCCAGAGAACUGCUUUCACAGGGGAAGUAGGAUCUGACUUAAUAUGCUCAAAUUGUACAGUAACCACCGGACUAAUAUGUUUUACUACUUAUUGCAGUGAUAAGGCUACAUUAAAAACCUGUUUAGAUAAAAUAAGCUGCUACGUGGAUGUUUUCAAGACAGCGUAUGAUGGCUAUGAUUCCACGUGUGGGAGUGGAUGUACAGUGACUGUUAGUGUAUCGAUGAUGUUCCUCUCAACUCUACUCAUGUUUAUCAAAAACUAAUACGUGUUACUAAUACUAGUACUUGCUUUUUCUAAAAAUAUAAUUUAUGACGACACUGUUAUUUUUUUAACAGAUGACUAAGAUACUGUCACUUUUAAAAAAUAUAGAAACUAUUUGUUAGAAAAAUAAUAUUACACUUUUGUUUACAAAAUAAUAUUACAAAUUUCGAUGUAAAGCGUUAGAUUAUUUUAUCAUUGACCAUUGUAUAAAACAAACAAAUUGUUGGAAACUUUGGAUAUGAGGUGAUGAAAAGUGACGUAUUUAUAUACAGAAUAUUUCUAAGUAUUAUCUAAUAUUAAAUAUUAAAUACAUGUAUAUUAGUUUUUAGUCAUUGACCAUUAUAUUAAACAUCUUAAUUGAUGAAUAUUUUGGAUAUGAGAUGAAGAAAAUUAAUAUGCUUCAAUAAUUGCUCCAUGUUUGAUUAAACCAUUAUUUUGAUAAUAAUCUUAUGCAUCUCUGGCUUUAAUAAAAAAUUG